rnacentral:rRNA from 1 species
CCUACGGGAGGCAGCAGUGAGGAAUAUUGGUCAAUGUCCGGAAGGCUGAACCAUCCAAGUCGCGUGAGGGAAGACGGUCCUAUGGAUUGUAAACCUCUUUUGUCGGGGAGCAAAAAGGCCUCGUGAGGCCACAAGUGAGAGUACCCGAAGGAAAAGCAUCGGCUAACUACGUGCCAGCAGCCGCGGUAAUACAGAGGAUGCGAGCGUUAUCCGGAUUUAUUGGGUUUAAAGGGUGCGUAGGCGGACUGGAAAGUCAGCGGUAAAAUCGGGAGGCUCAACCUCUUUCCGCCGUUGAAACUGUCGGUCUUGAGUGGGCGAGAAGUAUGCGGAAUGCGUGGUGUAGCGGUGAAAUGCAUAGAUAUCACGCAGAACUCCGAUUGAGAAGGCAGCAUACCGGCGCCCAACUGACGCUGAAGCACGAAAGCGUGGGUAUCGAACAGGAUUAGAUACCCCAGUAGUC